GUCAACACACACCUUACCUAUUAUAUUUGCACCAAUAAGCCUUGAACUAUCUAGUCUAAAGUCUAAAAUGCAACAGAGUGGAAGUGCCAUCCAGCCCUUUGUUAUUGAAAUAAGUUGUGAACUCCUUAAUCGUUGUUUCCCUGUACUUUGGAGGAUUCUGUUCCGAUAUCAGCUCCUUUAUAGGUCCAUACAACCUUUGUGUUGGAACAAAAUUUGUCAUGAAGAAGCAUGCCAAUGAUACCCUUGGACCGACCUUAUUAGCCAGUACUCUAUGAUCAACACUUUUGAACUUGUCAUUUGAUAUAAGCUGAAAAUGAUAA